CACCAAGUUUGUCAAACAAGAUGGAUUGUUUUUCCGGAUUCGCCGCACAUUCCUUCCUUCCUUCCUUCUUAAAAUCAGAGUCCUUCAAUAAUUAGAACUCCAUUUCUCUCCUGAUCCAAUAACUAUUCAAUUUCUCUUUAUAAUAAUAAACACAGACACAGAGACAGAGACAGAGACAGAGACACAGAGUAAAGGUCUAUCCAUAUUCUUUGGCAAGAAAAUCUGAGAGUUCUUGAAUUCCAGGUUGCUGAAUUGUUGAAGGUUGAAGCAGAGAGCACUUUUUUUGUCUAAAUUUGGAAUCAAGAUUCAAUUUUUGGAAGGUUUUGGUUUGUGGGUCAUUUUUAUAGAGUAGAUUUCAGCUUUAGAAGUCCAAAUUUUAGGUAGUUUUAGUUGCUUUAGAUUAAGAUUUCACAUGCUAAAUUGUUUCCAUUUUACAGUUCAAUUUUUAUGAGUGGAUUUCAGUUAUGGGAAUCAGAUUUUAGUUAGUUCCUCUGGAGUUUGAGGACCUACAUGAUUCAUAUUUGCUGAAAAGAGGUAGAUUCAUGGGGAAAGCCAUGAACUUGGCUUCUUCACCAAAAGGGACUAAUCCUGCUAUGGCUGCGUUUCCACGGUCACUUUCUUCAAUGGCAGCCUCAGUGGGAGGCCUUGCAUUAUUCUUGGUUAUUGCUUCUUUGCUUUUGGUUUCAUACCCUAUAGGUUCCACUGUUCGUGGAUACUUUUAUGGGAUAGAUAGCUCCAGACAAGUGGAUUUACUCAUUUUUGAAGGCAAUCAGAGCUCGAUUGAUCUGCACCAUGAUAGUAAUUUAGAUGUGGUUGAUGAGGAUUCUUCACUCGGGUUAGAUUUAAAAGGGCCCAUUAGUUUAGGUGGUGUUAAUAAUAACAGUGUAAAUGUCAUUGAUAGUCAAUCUGAGUUUAAUUUACAAGAAUCCACUACUGGUACAAGAAAAGAAGGGCAGACCAACCCUAAGGGUGGUUCAGUUACUUUAAGUGUCAAAGAAAUUGAUGCAGAUAAAGGAUCAGAAGAGAAUAGCACAGAUGCUGCUUCUGCAGAUUCUAAAUCAGGGGCCAAGUCAGAUAUAUCUGCUGUGCCCAGUAAUGCAUCCAAAACUGGUUCAGAUGAUUCAGGCUGUGAUUUGUACCAAGGAAGUUGGUUUUACGAUUCACUGGGACCAUUAUACACAAACAACACAUGCCCUGUCCUGACACAGAUGCAGAAUUGCCAGGGAAAUGGAAGGCCUGACAAGGAAUAUGAGAAUUGGCGGUGGAAACCUUCCCAGUGUGACCUCCCACGAUUCGAUGCCAAGAAGUUUCUGGAAUUGAUGAGAGGGAAAACAAUAGCUUUCAUUGGUGACUCUGUUGCUCGAAACCAGAUGGAAUCGAUGUUGUGCCUUCUCUGGCAGGCAAAAGCUCCUAAAAACCGAGGGAACAAAAAAAUGCAACGAUAUUUCUUUAGGUCAACAUCUACCAUGGUUGUCCGAAUAUGGUCCUCUUGGCUUGUUCACCAAACAUCAGAAUCUAUUGACUUCGCUCCAAAGGGUGUUGUCAAACUCCACCUUGAUGCCCCGGAUGAGCAUUUCAUGGAAUUCAUCCCAAAUUUUGAUGUGAUUGUUCUCUCUUCUGGACACUGGUUUGCCAAGCAGUCAGUCUAUGUCCUCAACAAUGAAAUUGUAGGGGGACAGUUGUGGUGGCCAGACAGAUCUCGUCCAAUGAAGAUUAACAACGUUGAAGCAUUUGGGAUAUCUGUUGAGACAAUUCUCACAUCCAUUGCCACACAUCCAAAUUUUACUGGGCUAACUAUUCUCCGCACAUAUUCACCUGACCAUUACGAGGGCGGGGCAUGGAAUACUGGUGGAUCAUGCACUGGGAAGGAAAAGCCUCUUGCACCAGGUGAAUUAGUGGAAAAUGGCUUUACUGAAAUAAUGCAUAAGAAACAGAUAACAGGUUUUGAUCGAGCAAUUAAUAAGGCGACCAAUAAAUCAAAGUUGAAGCUGAUGGAUAUCACUGAAUCCUUCGGCUAUCGCCAUGAUGGACAUCCAGGUCCAUACCGAAGCCCUGACCCUAAUAAACUCACAAAACGCGGUCCACAUGGAAAGCCACCACCGCAGGAUUGCUUGCACUGGUGCAUGCCUGGCCCAGUUGAUACCUGGAAUGAACUUGUGCUUGAAAUCAUUAGAAGAGAUUUUGAAGCCAACCAAGACCCUUCAAUAUGAGGUUGUUAUGUUUCCAUUUCCAAGCAGCCUACAGACAUGCACCUAGUGUAAUGGUCGUAGAGAAGCCUACACACCUAUACUUAGUAAUUGAAAAGACCGUUGGUCUCUUGAGUAUAAAAAGCAGAAGCAAUGCAGUUUGAACUGAAUCCAGCUCCCCUUCUGCGGAUGAUAAACAUUAGUCAGCCUUCCAUAUCAUUGUAUAGAGAGCAGAUGCAGUGCAUUUGGAUUGGACAAAAGGAGAUCCAAAUGCCAAGUUUAUAAGUUAGCCCCGGUGGCAUGAAUCACGAAAGAGGAGUUAAAUAGCAGCUUUCUUCAUUGUUUCAUUUUUUAAGGAUUUUGCCCGUUUAUAGGAUUUUGAGUGAAUAAUAAUUUAGUCCUUGUGUGUUUAAUGAUGUCAUAACUUGGUGCUCUGAUUAAAGAAAUCACAACUUAAUCCCUUCUGUA